rnacentral:rRNA from 1 species
UACGUAGGGUGCAAGCGUUAAUCGGAAUUACUGGGCGUAAAGCGUGCGCAGGCGGCUUUGUAAGACAGAUGUGAAAUCCCCGGGCUUAACCUGGGAACUGCAUUUGUGACUGCAUGGCUGGAGUGCGGCAGAGGGGGAUGGAGUUCCGCGUGUAGCAGUGAAAUGCGUAGAUAUGCGGAGGAACACCGAUGGCGAAGGCAAUCCCCUGGGCCUGCACUGACGCUCAUGCACGAAAGCGUGGGGAGCAAACAGG